GGAAUCUUGCGCAAUGGGGGAAACCCUGACGCAGCGACGCCGCGUGGAGGAUGACGGUCUUCGGAUUGUAAACUCCUGUUAAGUGGGAAAAAAUACUCGUUUCUAAUACAGACGAGGGAUGAUUGUACCAUUAGAGAAAGCACCGGCUAACUUCGUGCCAGCAGCCGCGGUAAUACGAGGGGUGCAAGCGUUAUUCGGAGUUAUUGGGCGUAAAGGGUGCGUAGACGGCACAUUAAGUCAACUGUUAAAUUCCCUGGCCUAACCAGGGGCAAGCAGUAGAUACUGAUGAGCUUGAGGGUGGAAGAGAGAAGUGGAAUUCUCGGAGUAGCGGUAAAAUGCGUAGAUCUCGAGAGGAACACCGAUGGCGAAGGCAGCUUCUUGGUCCAUCCCUGACGUUGGGGCACGAAAGCGUGGGGAGCAAAC
rnacentral:rRNA from 1 species